UGCCAAUAAAAACUUCGUUUCAUGAUAGACCUUUGUGUUGCUUUAUUCACACUCCUUGUAUUGUUUUGAACUCGAACGCCACAUUUGCCUUCCCUACCCCCCAUAAGUCUCAAUUGUUAUCUCCAAAAAUCUGGAAGACACAUGAGCAGCCUGGACCAGGGUCUUUCCUCCAGCGAGGCGCGUAGUGGAAAGAGCCUUGGUACGAGGUUGUAGUAAAAAGUGGAGAUUUACAAUUAAUGCAACGAAAACGGUAAUCUUAACGUUUGGUGAAAG